GGUUAAGUUAGAAAGGGCGCACGGUGGAUGCCUUGACACUAGGAGUCGAUGAAGGACGGGACUAACGCCGAUAUGCUUCGGGGAGCUGUAAGUAAGCUUUGAUCCGAAGAUUUCCGAAUGGGGAAACCCACUAUACGUAAUGGUAUGGUAUCCUUACCUGAAUACAUAGGGUAUGGAAGACAGACCCAGGGAACUGAAACAUCUAAGUACCUGGAGGAAGAGAAAGCAAAUGCGAUUUCCUGAGUAGCGGCGAGCGAAACGGAAUCUAGCCCAAACCAAGAGGCUUGCCUCUUGGGGUUGUAGGACAUUCUAUACGGAGUUACAAAGGAACGAGGUAGACGAAGCGACCUGGAAAGGUCCGUCACAGAGGGUAAUAACCCCGUAGUCGAAACUUCGUUCUCUCUUGAAUGUAUCCUGAGUACGGCGGAACACGUGAAAUUCCGUCGGAAUCUGGGAGGACCAUCUCCCAAGGCUAAAUACUCCCUAGUGAUCGAUAGUGAACCAGUACCGUGAGGGAAAGGUGAAAAGCACCCCGGAAGGGGAGUGAAAGAGAUCCUGAAACCGUGUGCCUACAAAUAG
rnacentral:rRNA from 1 species